AUGCCAUCCGCCCGGUGCCGAUGGGAGAGUGCUGGGGGCUCCCAGGCAGGGGAACACUCCUGGGGGAGCUGCCUCCAGAUGCAGCUCGUUUCACAAGGGAAACGAAAGAAGGGCAGGGAGACCCCAGCCUUUCUUCUGGAGGGGCCACCUGAGCAGCCUGCUGUUGUGGCUAAAGGCGCUUUAUCUGCCCAUCCUCCAGCAGCUGACCCCUCCCAGGAGAGGACUAGAGAUGAAAGUGAGGCCCUAUGCAGGUGGGAGGACAGCCUCUGCUCUACCAGCGUCUGCAACGCCUUUCUAUCUACGUGCCUUUCCUGUUUGAGGUUUGCACUUGACUUCUCACGCUGGAGGAACACCGCCUUCAAGGGGAUCCAAUGUGUGGAUGACCUGAUAAGUAGAAAUGGGUCAGCUGAGAAAAUGCACAACCUCAAAUGCGAGAAUUAUGUUUUGUUCGGUGGACUCUCUGAGGACUUCAAGACCAGGAGGCAGCUUCUCAGAUAGCUCUGGGGGACAGCUCCAAAGAGGUAAGGGAGGAACCAAGAUAGGUGAUUUUGCAGCAAAGACUAGGUAGUCAGAACAUCAAAUGACUACCUACCAUUCGUUGAAGAAAACCAGGAGUUCCUCCUGUGGCGCCCUGGGUUAAAAUUCCGACUGCAACAGCUCAGGUUGCUACGGAGGCACAGGUCUGUCCCUGGCCGGGCUCAGUGGGUUAAAGGAUCCAGCGUUGCCAUAGAUGCGAUGUAGGUCCUUGGCCUGGAAAUGUUCAUAUGCCAUGGGUGCAGCCAUAAAAAGAAAAAAAGAGAUGAAAACCAGGUAUCUCAAGUUAAUGAGUUUUAGUAUAGGAAGAUGCAAGAGCCAAGCUCACUGAAAUCACUGCUUUGAUAGGCACCUCAGCCAUCUGGGGCCGGUAUCCUGAACCUUCCCAUCCUGAGUCCCCUUGGGUACCUUUGGGGGUGGCUGCAGUGGCUGAGGGCUUGGCAGGGAUGGACAGUCUGUGUGUCUCCAUCCUGAGUUCCCUUAGAAUCACCAUUGGUGGGGGCGGGGUGCACCGUAGUAGCAGAGGGCUUGAUGGCCGCAGCAUCCUUUGCUGAUAUGGCAGGCAACAUUUGUCAUCCCCGGUGCUUGCUGGAGGGAGCUUUUCUAAGAAGCUUCUAGAGGUCUCUUCACAGCCUUUCUGCUCUCUGCCAGAGGGCACAGGGUGCAGCCAAGAGCCCCAAUCUGUUGCAUCAAUGAGGGUCCCCACAGGAACAGAUGGCACCCCAUAUGAGAAUAAUCCAGGGUUUUUUUGUAAAGCACGAAGUGUGGAUGGGAUGAGGAGGGAGCUCAGGGAUAGUGCAG
rnacentral:lncRNA from 9 species